UUAAGUUCAGCGGGUAUCCCCACCUGAUCCGAGGCCAACCAUUGAUAAAUUUAGGGGGUCUAGGGCGGCCUCCUACCGAUCGUCCGCAAGCGAGGGUUUUGCUACGCUUGGAGUCCGGUCUGGGGCGCCCACGAGUUUCGGGCCCGCCGCACGGGCGGGGCCCAUCACCAAGCAAGGCUUGAGGUUUGUAAUGGCGCUCG
rnacentral:misc_RNA from 1 species